rnacentral:rRNA from 1 species
UACGUAGGGUGCAAGCGUUGUCCGGAAUUAUUGGGCGUAGAGAGCUCGUAGGCGGUCUGUCGCGUCGAAUGUGAAAACCCGGGGCUCAACCCCGGGCCUGCAUUCGAUACGGGCAGACUAGAGUUCGGUAGGGGAGUCUGGAAUUCCUGGUGUAGCGGUGAAAUGCGCAGAUAUCAGGAGGAACACCGGUGGCGAAGGCGGGACUCUGGGCCGAUACUGACGCUGAGGAGCGAAAGCGUGGGGAGCGAGCAGG